rnacentral:lncRNA from 1 species
GAAUCACCAAAACUGAAUGAAUGAAUGAGAAUUGUUCUCUCAGGCUAGUGGAAAUUAAGUGUGAUAAACUCAUCAGGAAAAAAUGUAGGUUGGGUGUGACGGAGAAACUCAUGUUUUAUACCGUGGUGACAUCUUGAUUUCUGGUUUUGGCAUGACAGACUGUGUGGUCUCAGUGAUAUUGUACCAUCCUGGUUCCUGCUUUCAGGCUGGAGUCACAAGCUGGACUUGGAAGAAGCAACUUUCGGGCAGAGAUGUAACUGCAGAGUUAAUACUAUGCCAGGGUCUUGGGUUAUCUCAUGCAACCUUUCUGUGUUGACUGCUCUGUGUUAGUUUUGCUCAGACAGAAGGUAGAGCCCACAGGUGCUCCUCAGCUCUGCCUUGGGAUGACACCAUGAAGCAAUGAGGUGACAAACCGGUUUCCUUUCUCAAGCCAAAUGUCACGUAACUGCCCAGGGGCCCGUUUUGGUGGGGGUUGCACCCCCUGACUUUUCAAGGAGAGAUAUGCUGCUGUGACCCAUCCCCACCCUGUACACCUUGCUGAAGGAGAUAAAACUGCUCACUUCCACCUCUGACAUUUCUCAGCCAGGAAGAAAGGCAGGAGGCAUCAGGAUGUAGGGGGAUAUCUGAGCAGCCACCUGACAUGCUGACAAAGAAACCUCCAAAAUCCAUCAAGUGGAGAUGAGUUCCCAGGGCUAGAGCAAGCUGAUAUAAAGGAUGAUGGUACCCUUAUACCCACCCAAAAAUUUUACUACUCCUAGACGGGGCAGCAGACAAAUCCGUCCAACCCCAAAUGCUCUGCAGUUGAUAGAUCUGCUUUAGUGAGGAGGGCCCCAGUCAGUGAUGAGUGUUGUAGGAGAAUGCAUGCUGCAGCAUCAGUAAAGUCCAAAAAGCCCAAGGAGCAGUGCAGAACAUCUGUUGCCAACAAGAAAAUAGUAUGUGAAAAGCUGUUGUAAUUCCUGGCUCCAGCAGCCUAACUGGAGGCACAGACUUCCCAAGGCAGAGAGGACU